ACACAUGCAAGUCGAGGGGCAGCAAGGUCUUAGCUUGCUAAGGCCGAUGGCGACCGGCGCACGGGUGAGUAACACGUAUCCAACCUGCCGUCUACUCUUGGACAGCCUUCUGAAAGGAAGAUUAAUACAAGAUGGCAUCAUGAGUCCGCAUGUUCACAUGAUUAAAGGUAUUCCGGUAGACGAUGGGGAUGCGUUCCAUUAGAUAGUAGGCGGGGUAACGGCCCACCUAGUCUUCGAUGGAUAGGGGUUCUGAGAGGAAGGUCCCCCACAUUGGAACUGAGACACGGUCCAAACUCCUACGGGAGGCAGCAGUGAGGAAUAUUGGUCAAUGGGCGAGAGCCUGAACCAGCCAAGUAGCGUGAAGGAUGACUGCCCUAUGGGUUGUAAACUUCUUUUAUAAAGGAAUAAAGUCGGGUAUGCAUACCCGUUUGCAUGUACUUUAUGAAUAAGGAUCGGCUAACUCCGUGCCAGCAGCCGCGGUAAUACGGAGGAUCCGAGCGUUAUCCGGAUUUAUUGGGUUUAAAGGGAGCGUAGAUGGAUGUUUAAGUCAGUUGUGAAAGUUUGCGGCUCAACCGUAAAAUUGCAGUUGAUACUGGAUAUCUUGAGUGCAGUUGAGGCAGGCGGAAAUCGUGGUGUAGCGGUGAAAUGCUUAGAUAUCACGAAGAACUCCGAUUGCGAAGGCAGCCUGCUAAGCUGCAACUGACAUUGAGGCUCGAAAGUGUGGGGUAUCAAACAGGAUUAGAUACCCUGGUAGUCCACACGGUAAACGAUGAAUACUCGCUGUUUGCGAUAUACAGCAAGCGGCCAAGCGAAAGCGUUAAGUAUUCCACCUGGGGAGUACGCCGGCAACGGUGAAACUCAAAGGAAUUGACGGGGGCCCGCACAAGCGGAGGAACAUGUGGUUUAAUUCGAUGAUACGCGAGGAACCUUACCCGGGCUUAAAUUGCAGAUGAAUUACGGUGAAAGCCGUAAGCCGCAAGGCAUCUGUGAAGGUGCUGCAUGGUUGUCGUCAGCUCGUGCCGUGAGGUGUCGGCUUAAGUGCCAUAACGAGCGCAACCCUUGUUGUCAGUUACUAACAGGUUCCGCUGAGGACUCUGACAAGACUGCCAUCGUAAGAUGUGAGGAAGGUGGGGAUGACGUCAAAUCAGCACGGCCCUUACGUCCGGGGCUACACACGUGUUACAAUGGGGGGUACAGAGGGCCGCUACCACGCGAGUGGAUGCCAAUCCCCAAAACCUCUCUCAGUUCGGACUGGAGUCUGCAACCCGACUCCACGAAGCUGGAUUCGCUAGUAAUCGCGCAUCAGCCACGGCGCGGUGAAUACGUUCCCGGGCCUUGUACACACCGCCCGUCAAGCCAUGGGAGCCGGGGGUACCUGAAGUGCGUAACCGCGAGGAGCGCCCUAGGGUAAAACUGGUGACUGG
rnacentral:rRNA from 1 species